rnacentral:rRNA from 1 species
AUCAAAUACGCAGUAUUUACAGAAAAAAGUCUUCGUUUAUUGGGAAAGAAUCAAUAUACUUUUAGUGUUGAAUCGGGAUUCACUAAGAUAGAAAAGCAUUGGGUCAAACUCUUCUUUGGUGUUAAGGUGGUAGCCCACCUCCUUCUCCACAUCCACAGCCGCGACAGCGGUUGCGAGUUUCCCCGCACCACCGUGGAUGCCACCAAUGUCCUGCAUUGCAUCUGCCGUGGUCACCGCACCCUGCAGAUCUCUGGUCGCUGCGUCGGUGUCGCCACGAGCGUCCGCCAUCGGUAUGAGGGAGGCAAUGAAGGUGAGGUAGAGGAUGCGGUGGGGGAGAGCGAGAUGGUGCGGUAG